CCGUUGUACACACCGCCCGUCACACCAUGGGACGUUGGUUCUACCUUAAGCCGCUGAGCUAACCGUAAGGGAGCAGGCGUCCACGGUAGGGUACAAUGACUGGGGUG
rnacentral:rRNA from 1 species